rnacentral:rRNA from 1 species
AGAGUUUGAUCCUGGCUCAGGAUGAACGCUGGCGGCGUGCUUAACACAUGCAAGUCGAGCGGAUGAUUGAAUUUCGGUUUGAUCAUUAGCGGCGGACGGGUGAGUAACGCGUGGGUAACCUGCCUCAUACAGGGGGAUAACAGUUGGAAACGGCUGCUAAUACCGCAUAAGCGCACGGUUCCGCAUGGAACAGUGUGAAAAACUCCGGUGGUAUGGGAUGGACCCGCGUCUGAUUAGCUAGUUGGUGAGGUAACGGCCCACCAAGGCGACGAUCAGUAGCCGACCUGAGAGGGUGACCGGCCACAUUGGGACUGAGACACGGCCCAAACUCCUACGGGAGGCAGCAGUGGGGAAUAUUGGGCAAUGGGCGAAAGCCUGACCCAGCAACGCCGCGUGAAGGAAGAAGGCCUUCGGGUUGUAAACUUCUUUUACCAGGGACGAAGGACGUGACGGUACCUGGAGAAAAAGCAACGGCUAACUACGUGCCAGCAGCCGCGGAAAUACCUAGGUUGCAAGCGUUGUCCGGAUUUACUGGGUGUAAAGGGCGUGUAGGCCGAACUGCAAGUCAGAUGUGAAAUCCCGGGGCUCAACCCUGGAACUGCAUUUGAAACUGUAGCCCUUGAGUAUCGGAGAGGCAAGCGGAAUUCCUAGUGUAGCGGUGAAAUGCGUAGAUAUUAGGAGGAACACCAGUGGCGAAGGCGGCUUGCUGGACGACAACUGACGCUGAGGCGCGAAAGCGUGGGGAGCAAACAGGAUUAGAUACCCUGGUAGUCCACGCUGUAAACGAUGAAUACUAGGUGUGGGAGGACUGACCCCUUCCGUGCCGCAGUUAACACAAUAAGUAUUCCACCUGGGGAGUACGACCGCAAGGUUGAAACUCAAAGGAAUUGACGGGGGCCCGCACAAGCAGUGGAUUAUGUGGUUUAAUUCGACGCAACGCGAAGAACCUUACCAGGACUUGACAUCCAACUAACGAAGUAGAGAUACAUUAGGUGCCCUUCGGGGAAAGUUGAGACAGGUGGUGCAUGGUUGUCGUCAGCUCGUGUCGUGAGAUGUUGGGUUAAGUCCCGCAACGAGCGCAACCCCUAUUGUUAGUUGCUACGAAAGAGCACUCUAGCGAGACUGCCGUUGACAAAACGGAGGAAGGCGGGGACGACGUCAAAUCAUCAUGCCCCUUAUGUCCUGGGCUACACACGUAAUACAAUGGUGGUUAACAGAGGGAAGCAAAGCCGCGAGGUGGAGCAAAUCCCUAAAAGCCAUCUCAGUUCGGAUUGCAGGCUGCAACUCGCCUGCAUGAAGCUGGAAUUGCUAGUAAUCGCGGAUCAGCAUGCCGCGGUGAAUACGUUCCCGGGCCUUGCACUCACCGCCCGUCAAG